rnacentral:rRNA from 1 species
UAGUCCACGCCCUAAACGAUGGAUACUAGUCGUCGGAAUACCUAAUAGUUUCGGUGACGUAGCUAACGCAUUAAGUAUCCCGCCUGGGGAUUACGGUCGCAAGAUUAAAACUCAAAGGAAUUGACGGGGGCCCGCACAAGCGGUGGAGCAUGUGGUUUAAUUCGAUGCUACGCGAAGAACCUUACCUGGGCUUGACAUCCCGGGCUACCCUGGGAAACCAGGGGUUCCCUUUGGGACCCGGUGACAGGUGCUGCAUGGCUGUCGUCAGCUCGUGUUGUGAGAUGUUGGGUUAAGUCCCGCAACGAGCGCAACCCUCGUCGCUAGUUACCAGCAUUAAGUUGGGCACUCUAGCGAGACCGCUUGGCUAUAAGCCAGAGGAAGGUGGGGAUGACGUCAAGUCCUCAUGGCCUUUAUGUCCAGGGGCUACACACGUGCUACAAUGGGGGUAGAUAAAGCGCAGCCAACUCGCGAGAGUGCGCUAAUCGCAAAAACUGACCCCUCAGUUCGGGAUUGGGAGUCUGCAAC